UACGUAGGGGGCGAGCGUUGUCCGGAAUUACUGGGCGUAAAGAGCUCGUAGGUGGUUUGUCGCGUUGUUCGUGAAAUCUCACGGCUUAACUGUGAGCGUGCGGGCGAUACGGGCAGACUGGAGUACUGCAGGGGAGACUGGAAUUCCUGGUGUAGCGGUGGAAUGCGCAGAUAUCAGGAGGAACACCGGUGGCGAAGGCGGGUCUCUGGGCAGUAACUGACGCUGAGGAGCGAAAGCGUGGGGAGCGAACAGG
rnacentral:rRNA from 1 species